rnacentral:rRNA from 1 species
UACAGAGGUCUCAAGCGUUUGUUCGGAUUCAUUGGGCGUAAAGGGUGCGUAGGCGGCGCGGUAAGUCGGGGUGUGAAAUCUCGGAGCUUAACUCCGAAACUGCAUUCGAUACUGCCGUGCUUGAGGACUGGAGAGGAGACUGGAAUUUACGGUGUAGCGGUGAAAUGCGUAGAGUAUCGUAAGGAAGACCAGUGGCGAAGGCGGGU